GGUGCCGCAGUGGCCACUAGGGGGCCCCAGCACCGCCCAGCGGGAAUCUCCACAUUAUCCGAGACGAACCCUGCGCCUCCACCCGCGGCCUUGCAGCCAGCGACCAGGGGUCCGCGGGGAUCCUGGGGGAUGUGUCUGUGGAGCCCCCCAGGGGUCCGGGAAAACCCACCCUCCACGGAGCUCGCUGACCACGGACAAAACAGGGUCACUCCCGGGGGCAGCCGCGGACAGGUCUGAGAAGCAGAGACAGGCCCUGCCCGGACAGGCCUGCAGCAGUGGGAAGUAGUUUCCCGGGAGCUGGUUUGCCCGAUCCUGCAGCAUCAUCCAGCGAGAAGCCUCCAGCAUGAAGCUUUGCAAACUGCUUUUGACGUGUUCCACCGGUCACAGCGCCUUCUCCAUACACUGCACAGAGCUGCUUUUUCUGCAUUUCAGUUCCGUUUUUACCUUUAGUGAAAUAAUAAAGCAUAAUAUGCUGAAAAUGUUGCUUUCUUCCUUCCAUCUUUAAAUUAAAAUGGCCACACAAAAAUUCACCACUUCUGAUAAGUUUUUUAAAUGCUGAUAUGACAGCUGUCACAAUACAAUGUAACAAAAUUGUUUCCGAUGAAGUUAAAGACAACCAGGUGCUGCUAUCAGCUCAGUUCAGUUCAGCUGCUCAGUCGUGUCCGAC